rnacentral:rRNA from 1 species
UACGUAGGGGGCUAGCGUUGUCCGGAAUCAUUGGGCGUAAAGCGCGUGUAGGCGGUUCGGUAAGUCCGCUGUGAAAGUCGGGGGCUCAACCCUCGAAUGCCGGUGGAUACUGUCGGGCUAGAGUGCGGAAGAGGCGAGUGGAAUUCCUGGUGUAGCGGUGAAAUGCGCAGAUAUCAGGAGGAACACCAAUUGCGAAGGCAGCUCGCUGGAACGUAACUGACGCUGAGACGCGAAAGCGUGGGGAGCAAACAGG